UACGUGAGGGUGCGAGCGUUUGUCCGGAAUUUAUUGGGGCGUAAAGGGCUCGUAGGCGGUUUGUCGCGUCGGGAGUGAAAACACCGGGCUUAACUCGGUGCUUGCUUUCGAUACGGGCAGACUAGAGGUAUGCAGGGGAGAACGGAAUUCCUGGUGUAGCGGUGAAAUGCGCGAUAUCAGGAGGAACACCGGUGGCGAAGGCGGUUCUCUGGGCAUUACCUGACGCUGAGGAGCGAAAGUGUGGGGAGCAAACAGG
rnacentral:rRNA from 1 species